AAAUUACUUAUUUUGGUGUUUUUGGUCGAGGUUGAGGGUGUGCCUGCACUAAUUCACCAGACGGAAGUGUCAUGGGAUGCCAGUUUGGACCCUGCUUCAUAUUUCAAAAUUGGUCAGGUUGUGGAGGCAAAAUUUCCCCAAUUGGAUUUUGCACUUGAACGCA